rnacentral:rRNA from 1 species
UACAGAGGUCUCAAGCGUUGUUCGGAUUCAUUGGGCGUAAAGGGUGUGUAGGUGGCGCGCUAAGUCGGGUGUGAAAUUUCGGAGCUUAACUCCGAAACUGCAUUCGAUACUGGCAGGCUUGAAUCCGGGAGAGGGAUGUGGAAUUCCAGGUGUAGCGGUGAAAUGCGUAGAUAUCUGGAGGAACACCGGUGGCGAAGGCGGCAUCCUGGACCGGUAUUGACGCUGAGGCGCGAAAGCCAGGGGAGCAAACGGG